AGAGUUUGAUCAUGGCUCAGGAUGAACGCUGGCGGCGUGCCUAAUACAUGCAAGUCGAGCGAACCACUUAGUGGUGAGCGGCGAACGGGUGAGUAACACGUAGGUAAUCUACCCAUGAGACGGGGAUAACGUUUGGAAACGAACGCUAAUACCGGAUAGGAGGAAACUUUAAAGGUGCCCAUAAAGCACCGCUGAUGGAU
rnacentral:rRNA from 1 species